rnacentral:rRNA from 1 species
CCUACGGGAGGCAGCAGUGAGGAAUAUUGGUCAAUGGACGCAAGUCUGAACCAGCCAUGCCGCGUGCAGGAAGACGGCUCUAUGAGUUGUAAACUGCUUUUGUACGAGGGUAAACGCAGAUACGCGUAUCUGUCUGAAAGUAUCGUACGAAUAAGGAUCGGCUAACUCCGUGCCAGCAGCCGCGGUAAUACGGAGGAUUCAAGCGUUAUCCGGAUUUAUUGGGUUUAAAGGGUGCGUAGGCGGUCGGAUAAGUUAGAGGUGAAAUCCCGAGGCUCAACUUCGGAAUUGCCUCUGAUACUGUUAGGCUAGAGAGUAGUUGCGGUAGGCGGAAUUUAUGGUGUAGCGGUGAAAUGCUUAGAGAUCAUACAGAACACCGAUUGCGAAGGCAGCUUACCAAGCUACGUCUGACGUUGAGGCACGAAAGCGUGGGGAGCAAACAGGAUUAGAUACCCGUGUAGUC